UUCAAUACUGUUGCCAAAAGCAAUGGUGUGCACUUUUCUCUUAGUAAGACGUUGUGAUCCAUUAGGAAUCGAUUGUCUAUUUAAAAUUGGACAAUCAAUGGGCUACCCAAAGGCUGUGGUAUGAAGUUCAUUUUGGCAAACAACAUAAUCUUUUGGUUUUGUAUAUUGCCUUGUGAGCGUACCGUAUUCUGAUGUAGCUGCCUGAUGGAUUUUAAAGGUCAUAUCAUUGAUGCUUGCAUCACCCGAUUCGCGUUGGGAUGUUUAUGUUAUGUACCCGAUCAACAACGGUUUCAUUUGGGAUACCUUUGGGACCCGUCUUGAAACACGGACCAAGGAGUCUAUCUAGUAUGCGAGUAAAUGGGAUUAAAAAACCUAUUUGCGUAAAUAACUUGACUGUAAUUUAAUGGGAUUACGUGCAUUUAUAUAUGUACUUCCAUCCCGGGGUAUUUUCAUCACUUAUAUGGGCAACUAUAUAAAGAAAAUAUACCAUGAGCAUACUGGACAUGACCCGAAAGAUGGUGAACUAUGCCUGAUCAGGUUGAAGUCAGGGGAAACCCUGAUGGAGGACCGAAGCAAUUCUGACGUGCAAAUCG
rnacentral:rRNA from 1 species